rnacentral:rRNA from 1 species
AUUGAACGCUGGCGGCAUGCCUUACACAUGCAAGUCGAACGGUAACAGGUUAAGCUGACGAGUGGCGAACGGGUGAGUAAUGUAUCGGAACGUGCCCAGUCGUGGGGGAUAACUGCUCGAAAGAGCAGCUAAUACCGCAUACGACCUGAGGGUGAAAGCGGGGGAUCGCAAGACCUCGCGCGAUUGGAGCGGCCGAUAUCAGAUUAGGUAGUUGGUGGGGUAAAAGCCCACCAAGCCGACGAUCUGUAGCUGGUCUGAGAGGACGACCAGCCACACUGGGACUGAGACACGGCCCAGACUCCUACGGGAGGCAGCAGUGGGGAAUUUUGGACAAUGGGCGCAAGCCUGAUCCAGCCAUGCCGCGUGCGGGAAGAAGGCCUUCGGGUUGUAAACCGCUUUUGUCAGGGAAGAAAAGGUUCUGGUUAAUACCUGGGACUCAUGACGGUACCUGAAGAAUAAGCACCGGCUAACUACGUGCCAGCAGCCGCCGUAAGAC